rnacentral:tRNA from 2 species
GCUUGCAUAGCUCUAACGGUAGAGCAAGUCCAUGGUAAGGACGAGGUUCCAGGUUCAAAUCCCGGUGUGAGCACCA